AAACCAUCAAGCCCUGCUUGGUCUUGGACGCGGUCGAGUGACCCGUCCGUAACCCGUUGGCGGUGCAGUCCGGCUUCAAGCGUAGCAAGAAUUUCGCUUCAGGAGUCCGCGGCGGCGUCUGCCAGGAAACACUACCCAAA
rnacentral:misc_RNA from 1 species